rnacentral:lncRNA from 1 species
GUUGAAAGUUAAAUAAUUUUUUAUGAUUCCUAAAAGUGUAUCUGGAUAAGUAUCAUUCCCUGUGAAAAGGAAGUUUGAUUCAUACAUAUACCUCCAAAGUGGAUAGUUCAGAGAUACAAAAUCAAUCCAUCGUUAAUCUAAGCAAUGUAAUACUUUACAAUUUUUAAAACUUGUGUAGUAAUUAUAUGUAUAUGUAAUUUGCACCAGGUACUCAUAAACAAGUAUAAUUUAGGUUAAGAUUAAAAAUGUAAGCCAAAGAGGGCAGAGUACGAUGGCAGAAGAGAAGCCUACACUGUUCAUCCCCACUCCCCCACCGCACUGGAACACCAAAUUUUAACAACCAUUUGCACACAGAAAAGCACCAUCACACCGUCACAACAAACAAAAAUCAGGUCUGCAAAAACUACAGCAUUAUUGAGCUUGGGGCCCAAGUCCCUUCAAAUACCUGGAAAGCCUUCCCAAGAAGGACGGGAACAAAAAAGGCCAGACAUUGAAGACUACAAAAAAUAUCUAACUCUUUAAAGCCCAGACACAGACUAACAGCUACAAGCAUCAACAUUUUCUAGGAAAACACGACCUCACCAAAUAAACUAAAUAAGACACCAGGAACCAAUCCUGGAGAAACAGAGAUAUAUGAUCUUUCAGAUAGAGAAUUAAAAAUAGCUGUUUUGAGGAAACUCGAAGAAAUUCAAAAUUCUAUCAGCUAAAUUUAACAAAAAGAUGGAAAUAAGAAUCAAGAAGAAAUUCUAGAGUUGAAAACUGCUACUGACAUGCUGAAGAAAGUAUCAAAGUCUCUCAAUAGCAGAAUUGAUCAAGCAGAAGAAAGAAUUAGUGAGCUUGAAGACAGGCACAGUUAGAGGAGACAAUAAAAAUAAAAAUAAUAAAGCAUGCCUACAGGAUCUAAAAACUAGCCUUAAAGGGGUGAAUCUAAGAGCUAUUGGCCUUAAAGAAGAGGUAGAGAAAGAGAUGGAGGUAGAAAGUCUAGUCAAAGGUGUAAUAUCAGAGGAUUUCCCAAGUCUAGAGAAAGAUAUCAACAUUCAAGUACAAGAAUGUUAUGGAUUUAUCCCCCAAUAAAGCCUACCCCAAGGCAUUUAAUUAUCAAACUCCCAAAGGUUAAGGAUAAAGAAAGUACCCUAAAAGCAGCAGGAAAAAAGAAAUAAAUAAUACACAAUGGAGCUCCAAUAGAUCUGAAAGCAGACUUUCAUUUGGAAACAUUACAGGCCAGGAGAAAGUGGCAUGACAUAUUUAAAGUACUGAAGGAAUAACUGUAACCCUAGAGUAGUAUAUCUGGUGAAAAUACCCUUCAAGCAUGAAGGAAAAAUAAAGACCUUUCCAGACAGACAAAAGAGAUUUCAUUGACACCAGACCUAUGCUACAAGAAAUGUUAAAUGGAGUUCUUCAAUCUGAAAGACAAGGAUGUUAGUUAGCAAAAAGAAAUAAUCUGAAAAUAGAAAACUCACCGGGAAUAGUAAGCACACAGAAAAACACAGAAUAGUAUAACACUGUAAUACUGGUUUGUAAACUAUUCUUGUCUUAAGUAGAAAGACUAAAUGACAAACCAAUAAAAAUACUCACUACAACAACUUUUCAAGACAUAGGACAAUAAGACAUAAAUGGAAAAAACAAAAAGUUAAAAAGUGGAGGGAUAAAGUCAAAGUGUAGAGUUUUUAUUAGUUGUGUGUGUGUGUGUGUGUGUGUGUUUCUGUGUUUGUGUGUGUGUUUGCUUGUUUAUGCAAUCAGGGUUAAGUUGCCUUCAGUUUAAAAUAAUGGGUUAUAAGGUAUUAUUUACAAGCCUCAUGGUAACUUCCAAUUAAAAAAUUACAGCAAACACAAAAAGUAAAAAGCAAAAAACUAAAGUGCACCACCAAAGAAAAUCAACUGUAUUUAAAAGACAGAAACAAAGGAGAGAAAGAAGACUGAAAAACAACCAGAAAACAAAUAACAAAAGGGCAGCAGCAAGACCUUACUUAUCAGUAAUAACAUGAAAUGUAAAUGGACUAAAUUUUCCAAUUAAAAAAACACAGAAUGGCUGAAUCAACAAAAAACAAGACCCAGUGAUCUAUUGCCUACAUGAAACAUAGCUAACCUAUAAAAGUACACAUAGACUGAAAAUAAAGGGAUGGAAAAAGAUAUCCCAUGCCAAAGGAAACCAAAAAAGAGUAGGCAUAGCUAUAUUUAUAACAAAAAAAAUUUCAAGACAAAACUUGUGAGAAGAAAUGAGAAAAGUCAUUAUACACUGAUAAGAGUCAAUGCAGCAAGAAGAUAAAAUAAUUGUAAAUAUAUGUACACCCAAUACACGAGCACCCAGAUAUGUAAAGAAAAUAUGAUUAGAACCAAAGAGACAGAGGCCCCAAUAUAAUAAAGCCUGGAGACUUCAACAACCCACUUUCAGCACUUGACUAAUCUUCCAGACAGAAAAUCAGCAAAGAAACAUCAAACUUAAUUUGCACUUUAAAAAAUAAUGGACCUCAUAGAUAUUUACAGAACAUUUCAUCAAACAGUUGCAGAAUACACAUUCCUCUACUCAGCAUAUGGAUCAUUCUCAAAGACAAACCUUAUGUUAUGUCACCAAGCAAGUCUUAAAACAAUAAAAAAUUGAAAUAAUAUUAAGCAUCUUCUCUGACCACAAUAGAACAUAACUAGAAAUCAAUAAUAAAAUGAAUUUUGGAAAUGAUACAAGUGCAUAGAAAAUAAGCAAUAUGAUCCUGAAUAACCAGUGGGUCAAUAAUAAAAUUAAGAAAUAAAUUGAAAAAUUUCUUGAAACAAAAGAAAAUGAAAACACAACAUAGCAAAACCUGUAAGAUACAGCAAAAACAGUAGUUAGAGGCAAGUUUAUAGCUGAGUGCCUACAUCAACAAAGAAUAAAAACAUCAAAUAAAGAACUUUAAUGGUGCAUCCUGAAAAAAUAAGAAAAGCAAGAGAAAACUUAACUCAAAAUUAGAAGGAAAGAAAUAAUAACGAGCAGAGCAGAGAUAAAUAAAUUUGACAUGAAUAAAAUAAUACAAAAUAACAAAACAAAAAGUUGUUUUUUCGAAAAGAUAAACAAAAUUGACAAACCUUUAGGCACAUUAACUAAUAAAAAAGAGAGAAGAUUCAAAUAAAUAAAAUCAGAUUUGGAAAAAAAAAGACAUUUGAGGUGGUCAGAUUGCUUGAGCUCAGGAGGUGGAGACCAGCUUGGGCAACAUGAUAAAACCUCAUCUCUACAAAGGUUACAAAAGUUAGCUGGGUGUGGUGGUGCAUACCUGUAGUCCUAGCUAUUCAAGAGUCUGUGGUGGGAGGAUCACUGGAACCUGAGAGAUUGAGGCUGAAAGUGAGCUGAGAUUGUGCCACACACUCCAGCCUGGGUGACAAAGUGAGACCCUGUCUAAAAUAAGAAAGAAAGAAAGAAAAAAGAAAGAAAUGAAGGAAGGAAGAAAGGAAGGAAGGAAGGAAGGAAGGAAGGAAGGAAAAGGAGACAUUACAACUAAUGCCUCAGAAAUUCAAAGGAUUGACCGGGUGCAGUGGCUCACGCCUGCAAUCCCAGCACUUUGGGAGGCCAAGGCAGGCAGAUCACGAGGUCAGGAGUUCGAGACCAGCCUGACCAACAUGGUAAAACCCCGUCUCUACUAAAAAUACAAAAAUUAGCUGGGCGUUGUGGUGCGCGCCUGUAAUCCCAGCUACUCAGGAGGCUGAGGCAGGAGAAUCACUUGAACCCAGGAGGUGGAAGUUGCAGUGAGCCGAGAUCGUGCCACUGCACUCCAGCUUGGGUUACAGAGUGAGACUCCAUCUCAAAAAAAAAAAAAAAAAAAAAGGAAUUCAAAGGAUCAUCGGAUCCUUGGUGAUUACUAUGAACGACUAUGUGCCAAUAAAUUUCAAACUCUGGAAUAAAUGAAUAAAUUGCUAGACACAUACAACCUACAAAGAUAGAACCAUGAAGAAAUCUAAAACCCAACCAGACCAACAACAAGUAAUGAGAUCACAGUUAUAAUAAAUAGUCUCCCAGCAAUGAAAAGCCCAGAACCUAAUGGCUUCACUGCUGAAAUCUAGCAAACAUUUAAAGAACUAAUGCCAAUCCAACUCAAACUAUUCUGUAAAAUAGAGGAGAAGAGAAUGCUUCCAAAUUCUUUCUAAAAAGCCAGCAUUACCCUAAUAACAAAACCAGCCAGACACAUUGAAAAAGGAAACUACAGGUCAGUAUCAAUGAUGAAUAUUGAUAUAAAAACCCUCAACAAAAUAUUAGGAGACCAAAUUCUACAAUAUAUUAAAGAGAUCAUUCAUCAUGACCAAGUGUGAUUUAUCCCAGGGAUGCAUGGAUGGCUCAACAUACACAAAUCAAUCAACGUAGUAUAUAAUGUCAACAGAAUGAUACAAAAGAAUUUUAAAAAAUAAUAAAUUAAAAACAGAAUGAAAGAUAAAAAUUAUAUGUUCAUUUCAAUUGAUGCUAAAAAAGCAUUUGAUCAAGUUCAGCAUCCCAUUAUUAUGAAAACCCUCAAAAAAACUGCAUAUAGAAGGAACAUACCUUAAUAUAAUAAGAGCCAUAUGCAACAGACCCACAGCCAUUAUCAUGCUGAAUGGGGAAAAACUGAAAGCCUUUCCUCUUAGAUCUGAAACAUUACAAGGAUGCAUGUUUCAUCAUUGUUAUUCAGCAUAGUACUGGAAGUGGUAGCUAGAGCACUCAAACAAGAAAAAAAAAAAAAAGAAAAAGAAAGGACAUCCAAAUUGGAAAGAAAGCAAUCCAAUUAUCCUUCUUUUAAGAUGAUAUGAUCUUAUAUUUGAAAAACUGUAAAGACCCCACAAGAAAACAAUCAGAACUGAAAAAACAAAUUCAAUAAAGUUGCAAGAUACAAAAUCAACACACAGGAAUCAGUGACAUUUCUAUAUGCUACUGCAAACGAUCUGAAAAAUUACAUGCUGCGGUAACUCAGUAGCAUUUCUAUAAGCUACAGUGAACAAUCUGAAAAAUAACUAAAAAAUGCAUACUUAUUUACGAUGACCACAAAUAAAAUUAAAUAAUUAGAAACCAAAAAUAGUGAAUGAUUUUUAACAGUGAAAACUAUAAAACACUGAUGAAAUAAAUUGAAAAAGCCACAGAAACUGGAGCGAUUCCAUAUACAUGGAUUAGAAUAAUCAAUAUUGUUUAAAUGUCUGUACUACUCAAAGUAAUAUACAGAUUCAGCACAAUUCCUAUGAAAACACCAGUAACAUUCUUCACAGAAAUGGGAGGAAAAAAUAAUAAAAUUUAUAUGCAAUUACAAAAGACCCAGAAUAGCCAAAGACAUACUGAGCAAAAGGAACAAAACAGGAGGAAUUAUAUUAGCUGACUUCACUACAGAGCUAUAGUAACUAAAAUGUCAUGGUACUUGCAUAAAAGCAGACACAUAACCGAAUGGAACAGGAUAAAGAACCCAGAAACAAAUUCACACACCUACACUGAACUCAUUUUUAACAAAGUUGCCAGGAAGAUACUUGGGAGAAAGGACAGUCUCUUCAGUAAACGGUGCUGGUAAUACUAGAUAUCCAUAUGCAGAAGAAUAAAACUGGACCCCUAUCUCUCAAAGUAUACAAAAAUCAAAUACAAAUGGAUUGAAGACUUAAAUCUAAGACAUUAAACUAUAAAAUUACUAUAAUACAAGGAAACAUUGAGAAAGCUCUCUGGGAUAUUGGUCUUGAGCAAUAGCCUACAAGUACAGGAAACCAAAGCAAUAAUGGACAAAUGGGAUCACAUCAAGUUAAAAGCUUCUCCAUGGCAAAGAAACAACCAAUAAAGUGAAAAGACAACCCUCAGAAUAGGAGAAAAUAUUUGGAAACCACCCAUCUGUAUUAGGUCAUUCUCAAAUUGCUAUAAAGAAAUAUCUGAGACUGGGUAAUUUAUAAGAGAGGAGGAAUUAUAGACUUGUUGUUCUGCUGGCUGUACAGAAAGGAUAGAGGAAUCUGUUUCCGGGGAGGCCUCAGGAAGUUUCCAAUUAUGGCAGAAGGCAAAGGCAGAGCAGCCAUAUCACAUAGUGAAAGCAAAAACAAAUGAGGGGGGCACACAAUUUUAAACAACCAGGUCUCACAAUAACUCACUCACUGCCUCAAGGACAGCAUCAAUUCUCUCAAAUGCUAAACCAUUAAUAAGGAUGCCCCUAUGACCGAAUCACCUCGCACUAGGGCCCACCUCCAGCUCUUGGUAUUAUGUUUCAACAUGAGAUUUGGGUGGGCACAAAUAUCCAAACUAUAUCACCAUCUGAUAAGGAAUUAAUAACCGGAAUAUAUAAGAAACUCAACAAUUUUAUAGAAAAAGAAAUCUAAUGAUCUAGUUACAGCACAGGCAAAAGACCUGAAUAGACAUUUCCAGAAAGAAGACAUAAAAAUGUCAAGCAGGCAUAUGAAAAGGUGCUUAACAUCAUUUAUCAUCAGAGAAAUGCAAAUCAACAAUACAAUGAAAUAUCAUCUCAACCCAGUUAAAAUGGCUUUUAUGGAAAAUCAGGCAAUAGCAAAUGGUGUCUAGGAUGUGGAGAAAAGGAAACUCCUGUAUACUGUUGGUGCAAUUGUAAGUUAGAACAACCACUAUGAAGAACAGUUUGGAUGUUCCUCAAAAAACUAGAAAUUGGGCCACCAUAUGAUCCAUCAAUCCCACUUCUGGGUAUAUACACCCCCGAAAAAGGAAAUGAGUAUAUAAAACAGAUAACUGAACUCCCAUGUUUGUUGCAGCACUCUUCACAACACCUAAGAUUUGGAAGCAAACUGAGGGGCCAUGAACACAUGAAUAAAGAAAAUGUGGUACAUAUACAAAAUGAAGUACUAUUCAUCCAUAAAAAAUGAAAUUCUGUUAUUUGCAACAACAUGGAUGGAAGUAGAGGUCAUCAUGUUUAGUCAAAUAAGCCAGGCACAGAAAGACAAGCACUGCAUGUUUUCAUUUAUUUGUAGGAUCUAAAAAUUAAAACAAUUGAACUCAUGGAGAUAGAGAAUAGAAGAAUGGUCACUAGAAGCUAGGAAGGGUAGUGAUUGGGGGAAGGUGGAGAUAUUUAAGGGGCCUAAAAAAUAGUUAGAGAAAAUGAAUAAGGUCUAUUGUUUGAUAGCAUAACAAGGUGAUUAUCAUCAAUAAUAAUUAAUUGUACAUUAUAAAAUAAGCAAAAUAAUAUAAUUAGAUUGUUUGUAACACAAAGGAUAAAUGUUUGAGGGAAUGGAUAUCUAAUUUUUCCAUAAGGUGAUUAUUAUGCAUUGCAUGCUUGUACCAACAUAUCUCAUGUAUCCCAUAAAUAUAUACAUCUACUAUGUACUGUCAAAAAUUUUUAAAAAGGACAAAGGACAAAAUCUACAACAUACUGCAUGAUUAUAUUUUCAGCUAUUCGAAGUGCACAUCAUUUUAACAAAGGUGCCAAGAAGAUACUUUGGAGAAAGGACAGUCUCUUCAAUAACAGGUGCUGAUAAUACUAGAUGUCCAUAUGCAGAAGAAUAAUGGAAGUUCUAAUGAAAGGACAAAACAACAUAGCUACUUUUCAAAGCAAUUCACCUACUUAUUAUAAAUUUUAACAUUCAUCUGCCAUAUAACUCAGUAAUGAUACAGCUAGAUAUCUACCUAAGAGAAAAAUAUAAUAUUCACACUACAACAUUUCAUUAAAAAUUAUGGCAGCUUUAUUGAUAGUCACAAAAACAUGAAAAUGACCAGUGCAUAGAUAAACAGGGGUACAUCCAUACAAUGGAAUAAUAAUUAGCAAUACAAGAAAUAAACUAUUGAUUUGUGCAACAACAUUAAUUCAUCUAAAAUGCAUUGUGCUAAGUAAAAAGAAAAGCCAGACUUAGAAAAGCUGCAUAUUAUAUGAUUUUCUUCAUAUGACACCUUAGAAAAAAAAUUAUGGAAAUUGAAAACAGAUUAGUGCUUGCCAAGGGCUGUGGGAUAGGGGUAGAGGUUGACUAGAAGAAAGCAGCACGAAGGAAUUUUGGAUGUGAUGGAAAUGUUUUAUAUGGAACAUUGGUGGUGGAUACAUGAUUCUAAGCAUUUGUUGAAAGUUAUAGGAUUGUAUACCAGAAAGACUACAAUUUUCUAUGCAUAAAGUUUUAAAAAGUCAAAUUGAAAAUAUAUGGAGGAGCCACCACAUCUGGCCAAACGUAUCUAACUGUAAUUAUGUAUCCUUUUACCAACAUCUCCCCAUUCCUUUUCCCAACUAACAACCUGAGCCUCUACAAACCAUCAUUCUACUCUCUACUUCCAUGUGAUCAGCUUUUCUAGAGCCUACAUGUGAGAGCAUGUGGUAUUUGUAUUUCUGUUCCUUGCUUAUUUCACUUAACAUAACGUCCUUCAGGUUAAUCCAUGUGAUCACAAAUGACAUUCUUAGGCCAUAAUAUUUCACUGUGUAUAUAUACAUUUCUUUAUCCAUUCAUCCACUGAUAGACAGUUUGUUUCCAUAUCUUGACUAUUAUUCGAUAAACAUGGGAGUGCAGAUGCCUCUUUGACAGACCAAUUUCAAUUUUUUGGAUAUAUACCCAGUAGUGGGAUUACUGGGUUAUAUGAAAGUUCUACUUUUGGCGGGGUGUGGUGGCUCACACCCGUAAUCUCAGCACUCCAGGAAGCCAAGGAGGGUGGAUCACCUGAAGUCAGGAGUUCAAGACCAGCCUGGCCAACAUGGUGAAACCCUGUCUCUACUAAAAAUACAAAAAGUAGCUGAGCGUGGUGGUGGACACCUGUAAUCCCAGCUACUCCAGAGGCUGAGGCAUGAGAAUCACUUGAACUCAAGAGGUGGAGGUUGCAGUGAGCCAAGAUGUCGCCACUGCACUCCAGCCUGGGCAAUAGGAGUGAAACUCUGUCUCAAAAAAAAAAAAAAAAAGAAAAAAGUUCUACUUUUAAUUUUUUGAAAAACCCCUAUACUGUUUUUCACAAUGGCUGUGCUAAUUUACAUUCUAACUGGGGUGAGAUAUAAAAGCCAUAUACAACAAACCUAUAGCCAACAUCAUAAUGAAUGGGAAAAAGUUGAAAAUUUUUUAAGAUUCGAAACAAUAUAAGGAUGCCCACUUUCACUACUUCUAUUCAACAGAGAACUGGUGUCCUAGUCAGAGAAAUUAGGCAAGAGAUAAAAAUAAAAGGCAUUAAAAUUAGAGAAGAGGAAGUUAAAUUGUUCCUGUUUGCUGAUGGCAUAACCCUAUAUAUUGAAAACUCUAAGCACUCCACUAAAAAGCUGUUAGAAUUAAUAAAUGAAUUCCAUAAAAUUAUGUUACAAUGUUAACACACAAAAAUUAGUUGCAUUUGUGUACAAUAGCUAACUAUCUGAAAGGAGAAUAAAACAAUCCCAUUUACAGUAGCUACAAAAAAUACCUAUGAGAAAACGUGACCAAGGAGGUAUAAGAAAAAUGUAGAAGAUACAAAUAAAUAAAAAGAUAUUCUAUGCUCAUGGAUUAAAACAAUUAAUAUUAUUAAAAUGUCCAUACUACACAAAGCAAUUUACAGUUUCAAUGGAAUCCCUAUAAAAAUACCAAUGACAUUCUUCAUGGAAAUAGAAAAAAAAAAAUCCUAAAAUUUAUCUGGAACCAAAAAAGACCCCAAAUAGUCAAAGCAAUCUUGAGCACAAAAUCAAAGCUAAAGUCAUGACACUACCUGAUUUCAAAGUAUACUACAAACGUAUAGUAACAAAAAGAGCAUGGUACUGACAUAAAGAUAGAUACAUACACUAAUGGAAUAAAAGAGAACCCAGAUAUAAAUCCAGGCAUUUACAGCCAACUAAUUAUUAAUAAAGUUACCAAGAACAUGCAAUGGGGAAAGGACAAUCUUUUUCAUAAAUUAUGUUGGUGAGAGGUGAAGCCGGCUGGGCUUCUGGGUCAGGUAAGGACUUGGAGAACUUUUUUGUCUAGCUAAAGGAUUGUAAAAACACCAAUCAGUGCUCUGUGUCUAGCUAAAGGUUUGUAAACACACCACUCAGCACUCUGUAAAAACGCACCAAUCAGCACUCUGUGUCUAGCUAAAGGUUUGUAAACGCACCACUCAGCGCUCUGUAAAAAUGCACCAAUCAGCGGUCUGUGUCUAGCUAAAGGUUUGUAAAUGCACCAAUCAGCACUCUGUAAAAAAUGGACCAAUCAGCAGUCUGUAAAAUGGACCAAUCAGCAGGAUGUGGGUGGGUCCAAAUAAGCAAAUAAAAGCUGGCUACCCAAGCCAGCAGCAGCCACCUGCUCAAGUCCCCUUCCACGUUGUAGAUGUUUUGUUCUUUCGCUCUUCAUAAUAAAUCUUGCUGCUGCUCACUCUUUGGGUCUGCACUACCUUUAUGAGCUGUAACACUCACUGUGAAGGUCUGUGGCCUCACUCCUGAAGUCAGCGAGACCACGAACCCACCGGGAGGAAAAAACAACUCCGGACAUGCCACCUUUAAGAGCUGUAACACCGCGAAGGUCUGCAGUUUCACUCCUGAAGUCAAGCGAGACCACAAACCCACCAGAAGGAAGAAACUCCAGACACAUCUGAACGUCUAAAUGAACAAACUCUGGACACACCAUCUUUAAGAACUGUAACACUCACAGCGAGGGUCCGCGGCUUCCUUCUUGAAGUCAGUGAGACCAAGAACCCCCAAGAAGGAACCAAUUCCGGACACAUUGGGAAAACUAGACAUCCACAUGCAGAAACAUUAUUAUUAGUUUUGGGUCUUACAUUUAAGUAUUUAACCCAUUUGGAGUUAAUUUUAGUGUAUGAUGAAGAUAAGGGUCUAAUUUCUUUUUUCUGCCUUAUUUGUUGAGACAUAGUUUAUGUUGAGUAAAAGUAUGUCUCAACAAAUAUAUAGCAUAUAAUUCUAUGAAUUUGAAAAAUGCAUAUAAUUGUGUAACCACAAACAAAGUUAGGAUAUAGAAUAAUUUUAUGAUAUAGAAUAAUUUUACUGAGGUGAACAAGUCCAUGUUGUCCCUUUGCAGUGAAGAAAAUCAGAAUAUUUUAUUCUAAAAUCAUAUUUUUUGACAUAUUCUGAUAUGGCUCUUUAGAAAGCCAGCAAACCCAAGUAGCCCUGCAAAGCUGUCUUGUGGGGGAAAAUUUGCAUCUGCAUUGAUGUAGCCAGGCUUUCUCUGAGGCAUUUCCUCAUCCAGGUCUAGGAAAGAUUAACUGAGAACCUGACACCUUUAAAGUUCUGAAAGAAACAUUUACCAUUAUUCUCUCUGUGGGCUGCUACCUGUGAGGUUUCAUUUCCAGAACAAGACCACCUUUAAUAAACAAGCUUUCUCCUUUCUCCCUCCCAUAUCCUGUCUUGCCACUAUAGCCAAAUUUUCCACCAUAACCUGGUUUUGGCCAUGAUCAUGUUACUGGAAAGUGUGUAGUCCUCAGUUCCUGGCUUCUUGGAAGAAAGAAUUCAGCCAAAAGACAAUUUAGCAAAGUCAGCAGAGUUUAUUGAAGGAAAAUUAAGUAGCCUCCAAGAGAGUAGAUGGCUGGAUGGGCUGGAAACAGCCCUGAGAGUUCUGUGUUGCAGUUUUUGUUAUGUUGGACUUUUCUUUAAGCUCCUUCCUCUAUCUUAAGUCUCCACCUUUGUCUUCAUCUAGCUUCCCACUUCUGUCUUCAGUCUCUGCUUUGUCCCCACCUAGUCCCUGCCCAGGUUUGUGAGAUUCUCCCUUACUGUCAGUUAAUGCACAUUCAAAGGGCCCUGAGAUCAAUACAAAUCCUACCCAAUGGCAGCACUCUCAUUACUGCCUCCUCAGGAAGAUCAUACAAUGGUCAAAUCUGCACUUAUUGUACUUACAUAUUUCUUAGGAAUGUCCCUUUUCUCCCACUUAUCAGCAUGGAGAUAGCUACAUUAUGACAAUUAAGCCACAGAAUAAGUGAUUACAGAGUGUCUUAAGAGAUGUUUCUGGGCAUUCCUUUCCACAUAGGUAUUGUCCCUCCCCUCUGCUUAUAUUUAGCACGCAUGUUUCAGGUGGUCUCUAGGGCAUGAGAUUUUCCAGAGCUUUCUCUCCCAGGGGCUCCCUUUCCUGCUCAUGUCUAACUAUCUGCCUACUACUCUCUGAGCCCUCAUUCUAUCUGUAACCUUACUUCCGCAUUCCACUGGGGUGUUGGGGUAACACUCUGUAAUUCUCCCCCAUGUAUACAUUAAUACAUUUAUAUUGCUUUUCUCCAAUUAAUCUGCCUUCACACAGCUGAUUUUUUAAUGAAAUAUCAGAGAGUGAAGGGGAAGUUUUCCUAUAGCUCCUACAGUAGUCAACUCAUCCUGCUACCCUCCACUUCCCCCACCUGCCUCUGAAAACCACAGAUCUGCUCUCCAUUUCUAUAUUUUGCCUUUUAAAAAAUAUUAUAAUAAUAUCAUAUAGCAUGUUGCCUUUUAAGUCCUAAUUUUUUACUCUUAUUAAGGAGUUUGAGAGGUAUCAUGUUAUAUGUAUAAUUAUUUUUUUUCUUUUUAUUACUGAGUAUCAUUCCAUCAUGUAAAGUUACCCCUGUUUGUUUAUACAUUCCCCAGUUGAAACAAUUUCAGUUGUUUCCACUUUGGGGUGGUUACGAAUAAAGCUGCUCUAAGUAUUCAUAUACAGGUUUUUGUAUGGACAUAAGUAUUCACUUAUAUGAAUUGUCCAAAUAACUGGGUAUUUGCCCAAGUGAACCACUUGUGAAAUUAUAUUCACAUAGGUGAAUCUAACUUUUCCACCAGGAAAGUUAGAAUGUUUCAGUUGCUCCAUGUCCUUACAAGUUUAUAUUCAAUUUUUUUCUUGUUGUUUUGUUAUGCUUUGCUUUAGUCAUUUCAAUGAGUUUAUAACACUAUUGCAAUGUUAUUUAAUUCAGUGUCAUUUAAUUGAGAGUUUCUCAAUGAAUUAGUAAUGGAAAGAAAGUAUCUCAAAACAAUAAAGGCUACACAUGACAAAUUCACAGCUAACAUUGUAUUAAAUGGAGAAAAGCUAAAAGCUUUUUGUUUAAGAACUGGAACAAGACAAAGAUACCUACUAUCGCCACUCUUAUUCAACAUAGCACUGGAAGUCCUGGCAAUUUAGACAAGAGAAAGAAAUAAAGAGCAUCCAAAUCAGAAAGUAAGAAGACAAAUAUUCCCUGUUUGCAGAUAGUUUGAUCUUAUAUAUUAAAAAACCCAACAACUUUACCAAAACAAGUCUUAGAACUUAUAAACAAAUUUAGCAAACUUGUAGGAUACAAAAUAAGCAUACAAAAAUUAGCAGCAUUUCUAUACAUAAAUAAUCAUCCAGCUGAAAACAAAUCAAUAAAGCAAUUCCAUUUAUAAUAGCUGCAAAAAAACCCUAAGAAUAAAUUUAACCAAGGAGGUGAAAGGUCUUUACAAGGAAAAUUAUAAAACACUGAUGAAAGAAAUUGAAGGGGAUAAAAACAAAUAAAAAUACAUCCCAAGCUCAUGGAACAGAAGUAUCAAUAUGAUUAAAAUAACCAUACUACCCCUACCCAAAACAAUCUAUGGAUUCAAUGCAAUACCUACCAAAAUACCAAUGAUGUUCUUCCCAGAAAUAGUUAAAAAAAAAAAAAAUCCUAAAAUUGCUGCUGGACCACAAAAGACCCUGAAAAACCAAAGCAACGUGAACAAAAGCAACAAAGCAGGAGUAUCACACUAUCAGACUUCAAAAUAUGCUACAAAGCUAUAGUAACCAAAACAGUAUGGUACUGGCAUAAAAACCAGACUCAUAGACCAUUAGAACAUAAUAGAGAGCCCAUAAAUUAAUCCACAUAUCUAUAAGCAACUGAUUUUUGAUAAAGCCACCAAGAACAUUCAAUAGGGAAAGGAUAGACUCUUCAAUAAAUAAUGAUAGUACUCAUUUAAGGUAACUUUUGGAGAUAGUAGGAGGCAUGGGUUGACCCUUUUUUUUGAAAACAUAUGAUAUAAAAUUGUUCCAGCACUUUUUGUUGUAUAUACUAAACUUUUUAUUCAUUAAUUGCCUGUGAAUCUUUAGCAAUACAUCUAUGCAUGGGUUUAUUCCUUGACUUUAUAUUCUGUUUUAUUGAUAUAUGUGUCAAUUCUUUUGUCAAUACCACAUUGUCUUAAUAAAAGUAGCUUUAUAUUGUCUUAAAUCAAGUAGUAGGAGCCCUCAAACUUUCUUUUCAUUUUAAAAAAAAUAUUUUGGCCAUUCUGCUUCUUCUACCCUUCCAUAUGACUUUUGAAUCCAAUUUGAUUUUAACUUUAAAAAAUAUGCUACUGGGAAUUUGUUUGUGAUUUCAUAGAAUCUACUAAUCACUUUAGGAAGAAUUGAUAUCUUAGUAAUACUCAGUUUUUCUUUCUAUGAACAUGAUACAGCUCUUAAUUUAUGUAUUUUGUUUUUGUUUUUGUUUUAUAGAUUUCACCAUAAAAUAUGUGUACAUCUUUUGUUAAACUUGUACUUAAGUAUUUUGUUUUUAUUUUUUGGUGUUAGUUUAAGAGUACUUUCUAAAAUUUUUAAUUUCUGGUUUUAUUAUAGUACAAAAAUACAAUAGAUUUGUAUAUACUGACCACGUAUCAUGAAACCUGGCUAAAGAUACGUAUUAGUUCUGAUAACUCUUAUAAGGCAGUUUUAUUUUUGCCAUUUCUGUCUGGAUGGCUUGUUUGUAUGUAUGUACAUAUGUAUGUAUAUAUGUAUGUAUGUAUGUAUUUAGACUUAUUGAACUAGAUAGGACUUCCGGUGUAACGUUGGAGUGGUGCAAAUGGUCAUCCUUGUAUUGCUUAUAACCAUAGUGAAUAAGCAUUCCAUCUUUGGCCAUUUAGUGUGAUGUCAGUUGCAUGUUUUUGUAGAUAUUCUUUAUAAUCUUAACAUGUUUCCUUCUAUCUUGUUUGCUCAGAUUUUACCACCAAUGAAUAUUGAACUCUUAUCAAAUAAAUGAUUUCUCUAAAACAAUUGUGUUGAUGACAUGGUUUUAUAUGUUUGAUUUGUUUAUAUGUGAUUUGUAUUCAUUGAUUUUUAAACAACUUUAUUGAGGUAUAUUUUUCAAAUCACAAAAUUUACUUAUUUUAAGUGUACAAUUCGAUGAUUUUAAGUAACUUUACUACAUGGUACAAAAUCAGCUUUCGAACAUUUUCAUCUCUCAAUAAGACUCAGUGUGCCCUUUAAAAUGAAUCCUUAUUCCAUUUCUCAGCCCCAGACAAGCACUAAAUUACUUUCUGUCUCUAUAAAUGUGACUUUUCUAGAUAUUUUAUAUAAAUGGAGUCACACAGUAUGUGGUCCUCUGUGUAUGGAUUCUUUCACUUACCAUGAUGUUUCCAAGAAUCAUCCAUGUUUUAGUUAUAAAUGAAUACCAUUCUUUUUCAUGGCUGAAUAAUAUUCAAUUGUACAGAUAAACUCUAUUGUGUCCAUCCAUUCCUCAGAUGGUAGACAUGUGUAUUCUUUUCACUUUUUGGAAAUUAUGAAUACUGCUGUUAUGAACAUUGCUAUACAAGUUUUUGUGUGAAUAUAUGUUUUUCUUUUUUUGGGGGGUGUACACAUCGGAGUAAAAUUACUGAGUCAAAUGUUGAUUCUAUUUAAAUUUUUGAGGAACUGCCAAAUUAUUUUCUACCACGUAUGUACAACUCUACAUUCCCAUCAUAAAUAUAUAAUGUUGAAUUUUUGCCAAUGUUUGUUGUUAUCCCUUUCUUUGAUUAUAACCAUUCUAUUGUGUGUAAAGUAGUAUCUCAUUAUGGGUUGUCGAAUUUGCAUUUCCCAAACGAUUAAUGACAUUGUCUUUUCAUGUCUUUUUGGCCUUUUGUAUAUCUUCUUUAAGGAAAUACAUAUUCAAAUCUUUUGUUCCUUUUAUAAUUAAAAUAUUGUUUUAUUGUUGAGUUAUAAGCAUUUGUAUAUAUUCUUGAACUAGACUUUUAUUAAGUAUAUGUUUUGACAGUGUGUUCCCUCAGUCUGUCAAUCAUCUUUUGAGUUUCUUUAUAGUGUUCUUUGAAGUAUGAAAAUACUUAAUUUGAUGAAGUAAAAUUUAUUGAUUUUUACUUUGGCUGCUUGUGCUUUAAGUGUCUUAUCUAAGAAACCUAAAAAACUGUUGCCUAAUCCAAGGUCACAAAAAUUUACAUCCAUGGUUUUUUCUCACAGCUGUAUAGUUUUAGGACUUACAUUUAGUUUUUUGAUACAUUUUUUGCUUAAAUUUUGUAAAUAAUAGGAAGUCCCAGAACCAUUUGUUGAAAAAGAUCACCCCCUUCUCCUAUUAAAUUCCUGUAAAUUAAUCGACUAUAAAUAUGAGGGUUUAUUUCUGAAAGCACGAAUCCAGUAUAGCUUUCUCCCUUACCCUUAUAUUUACUAUUAUUGUCAUAAAAGUUAUAUUUCUAUACAUUCUGAGCCCAUCAACAAAGUUUUAUACUUAUGACUUUUAUGUAUUUGUCUUAAUUCAGAUAGAUUUAUGAACAAAAAUAUAUUUAUACUGCC